rnacentral:misc_RNA from 1 species
UCCGAUUUGUCACCGGCAGUCUCCUAUGAGUCCCCGGCCGAACCGCUGGCAACUGGGAGCGAGAGUUGCGCUCGUUGCGGGACUUAACCCAACAUCUCACGACACGAGCUGACGACAGCCAUGCAGCACCUGUGCUGGCGCUCCGAAGAGGGGCCGAUGUUUCCACCGGCUUACACCAGCAUGUCAAGCCCAGGUAAGGUUCUUCGCGUUGCUUCGAAUUAAACCACAUGCUCCGCUGCUUGUGCGGGCCCCCGUUAAUUCCUUUGAGUUUUAGCCUUGCGGCCGUACUCCCCAGGCGGGGCACUUAAUGCGUUAGCGCCGGCACGGGAGGAGUCGACACCUCCCACACCUAGUGCCCAUCGUUUACGGCGUGGACUAC